AGCGAACGCUGGCGGCAGGCCUAACACAUGCAAGUCGAACGGAUCCUUCGGGAUUAGUGGCGGACGGGUGAGUAACACGUGGGAACGUGCCCUUUGGUUCGGAACAACUCAGGGAAACUUGAGCUAAUACCGGAUGUGCCCUUCGGGGGAAAGAUUUAUCGCCAUUGGAGCGGCCCGCGUCUGAUUAGCUAGUUGGUGAGAUAACGGCCCACCAAGGCGACGAUCAGUAGCAGGUCUGAGAGGAUGAUCAGCCACACUGGGACUGAGACACGGCCCAGACUCCUACGGGAGGCAGCAGUGGGGAAUCUUGCGCAAUGGGCGAAAGCCUGACGCAGCCAUGCCGCGUGAAUGAUGAAGGUCUUAGGAUUGUAAAAUUCUUUCAGCGGGGACGAUAAUGACGGUACCCGCAGAAGAAGCUCCGGCUAACUUCGUG
rnacentral:rRNA from 1 species